GGCACGUAAAGGGACAUUGACGAGUUUUGAACACCAGUGAGCAACUACAUAUAACAGUUGAAACUAGGGACCAUUCAGAAACAACUGAGGUGGACGUGCUUCGAGAGAACCAGUGAAGCCCAAAAGAGAAACAUGCAUCUGAAGCUUAUUCUUGUCGGCCUGACCAUCUUUGGCCUCAUUGUUGCUGAAAGUGGUGCCAUGCCGGCCAGCGCGAGUGCCCAAGAGGCCGAGGCAAGGGCUGAACCCGAGUCAGCGGAGCGCGCAGGAGCAAGGCAACGCUGAGGAGGCACGCAUCAGUGAAGCAUGCAUGGCAUCCCUGUGUGGCUAGGAGCCUGGUGCAACGGAAUGACACAUUUUACCAGAGACGUCGCGCACCGCCAAAGAAUUGAUACUUAAAAGGCUGCGUACACAUUCGACAACGGCCUAUGAAAUUGCAGCACCGAAAGUUAGGGUCAGUUGAUACCUGUAAAAUGCAUUCCGGCAUCAAAUAAAGGUCUGUCUAAACGGCAUUUCUGUUGAA